ensembl:lncRNA
AUGGGUAAAUUGGCCAAAAAACUUUGGAUAUACAGUAGAGUUGUAACCAUAAUUGUUUUUUGUUGGAGUUGCCAAAGAUUAAGAGCUUCAACACCAUAUGGUUUUGGUAGCAAGACAUGGAAAGAUCUGAAGAUACUAACAAAAGAAGAUUUGAUAUUGAAGAUUUUUGAAUUGGGAGAAACAGACAAACAAUCCACUUUGCUUAGAGAGAGCUCUUUGGACAAUUUCUAAAAGAUUAGAAAUUGUUCUUAUCUGUAAUUAAGAAAGCAGGGAAGACAACACUUGUAGGUUUUGAAUAUUGAAGUAUGGUUACUAAGCAAAAGUUUAAAGUUAAUUAAAUAGUAAUUAGUAAGUAAACAAUAUAUUUCAUGUUUUCUUUGACUUGUAGUGUUGGGAAGUCAAUUUUUAAAACUCUUUUUGUGGGUGAUGAUAAAUUUGUUUUUUCUUUGUUGUUAUUGUGUUUUAUUUUGUUCUUUCUUUAUUUGCUUUGUUUAGUGUCCAAUGUUCCCUCACUUAUCACUGAGGUUAGGUUCCAGGACCACCCGCAAUAAGCGAAAAUCCGCGAAGUAGGGACACUAUAUUUAUUUUAAUAUUUAUACAUUAUUUUAGUAGUUAUACACUAUUUUAAGUCUUUAUCAACCAAUUGUGUGUUGAUAAAUCGCCUCCUUCUCCUCCCGUUGCUGCUUGGGCUCCUUUUCUCUCCCUUUGGCUUCUCCUUCCUUCCUUCCUUAGGCUGUAAAUUGUAAUUUUUUUAUGAUUUAUAAUAUUCUUUUAGAGUUUAUUGAAAAACCGCGAAACAGCGAAUCCACGAAAAGUGAACCGCGAAGUAGUGAGGGAACACUGUAUAUUAUAAUAUAAUAAAGAUAUGCUAUAAAUCCUAUCUUCCAGAACCAAUACCACCAUAAAUAAAAAAAGGUGGCUGGUCCCAUAAGAGAUGAUACUUUUGCUCACACAAGAAAAGAAAAGAAGAAAAGAAAAGUUGUGCUUAAAGUGAAAUUUCUUUCAUGAUGACUUCUUUCAUUAAUGUGUUGGCAAUAUGGUUAUUUAUCCCAACAUUUUAUCAAAAUUCAGAUCUACUGAAAAUUGUAGAAGCCAAUAAGAAUAGACAAUUGCCUAAUACAUAUGUGUUCCAUAAUCUCCUAUUAAAAAGCAACCCUAAAUGAAAAAGAACAUAAUUUCGGAAAAUAUAGAGAACUGUAGCAAAGCAGGGCACGAUUGCAAUUUCAGGCAAAUGAUGCAGAUAAAUUCACUUUAAUGGAUAUGUUCAGUAGAUGCAAAAAUAUAAUAUUCUGUUAUUUAUUAUUUUUGGAUGGUUGAACUUAGUGAGAAGAAAUGCAGAACCCUUUUCUUUUUUGUGGUUCAGUAACAGUAAGUAUUCUUUCUCGCUCUCCUAUUUCCUCUUAAUUUGUAGUAAAUAAUUUCUGCAGUCUUGAAAGGUGAAGCUCCAUAUACAAUUAAGGUAAUUCAGAAUGUUUUCAUUUCCCUCCUAUAUUUUCUAAAUCCAACUUUGCUAAAUUGCACUGGCACAUUUUGAAAUCAUCUGCAUUUUUAUUUGAAAGAACCAAUCAGGACACAGAACUUGAUGAAACACUAAUGAUCACCAUGAUCAUAUAAAUAUCCUCAGCAAGAACUAGGCAAUAUGGACAAGUUUUAAAGGAAAUCAAAAUAUUCAAAUUUUAGGGAUCCUACUACAGUAGAGUCUCACUUAUCCAACACUCGCUUAUCCAACGUUCUGGAUUAUCCAACACAUUUUUGUAGUCAAUGUUUUUAAUACAUUGUGAUAUUUUGGUGCCAAAUUUGUAAAUACAAUAAUUACUACAUAGCAUUAUUGCUUACUGAACUACUUUUUCUGUCAAAUUUGUUGUAUAACAUGAUGUAUUGGUGCUUAAUUUGUAAAAUCAUAACCUAAUUUGAUAUUUAAUAGGCUUUUCCUUAAUCUCUCCUUAUUAUCCAACAUAUUCGCUUAUCCAACAUUCUGCCGGCCCGUUUAUGUUGGAUAAGUGAGACACUACUGUAUUUAUAGAAGAAAUUCCCACUUCUACCCCAGCUUGAUUUUUUUCUCCACAAGCUUUAUUUUAAAAAUAAUUUACAAUUGCAGUGAUCAACAUAUUCUGCUAAGGACUGAAUGUUCUGAAAUCAGUGAGUACCUUCUACAUUUUUCACUUUUUUUGCAUCUAGUAAAGGCAUAGAGUUUGUUUUUUAAAUUUCAUUCCUAAAAUUCUUAUUUAAAAUUUGGUAGGCAAGGUCUAGCAGAGACAAUAACUUUGUCAUGAUCUAUGUAUUUCAGUUUUAAUACCCCAGCU